rnacentral:lncRNA from 1 species
GUCUCUCGGAGUCCAAAGCCUUUGGUUUACCUUUCACAGAGCAACCCAGAGCCCACAAUGGCAUGGAUAUUGCCCAAAACAAAACCAGUGCAGGUUGUGGGAGCACCCAGUUGUUUCUGACUGCUUAGUGCUGGGAUCUCUGCUCCAAGAGUAUCCAGGAAAAGUGUACACACCAUCUUACUGAUUCCUAAAGACCAGUGCCAUGUGCUUUUCCAGGAUUGUUCCAUGCUGCCAAAAUCUCCCAUGGAAAGUCCAAGAGAAAAAUUCAAGGAAGAUCUGC